rnacentral:tRNA from 1 species
AGUAGAAUGGCUGAGAUUAUAGGUAAUAGAUUGUAAAUCUAUUGAGGAGUUAUUACUCUUCUACUA